rnacentral:lncRNA from 1 species
UCUGUGUCUCAUAUUUCCAUCAUCAUUGUCACUUUCAAAUCUGUAGUUCAGCUUUAACUGAUUCAAGCAUGUUUAUUAUUUUUCUGUUCAUGUUGUCAACUGCCUGUUUCAGUAGUUCUAAUUCAUUGAGCAGGUGAUCUAGUUCCCAGGUAUCUUUUUUCAAGUUUUUGGACCCACUAAGAUAUUAUUAUUAUUAUCAUUAUUAUCAUUGUUUUGUAUGCUUUGAGUUUUUGUUUUUGACUGCUCACUGGGACUCAUGAUUGAUAGGUUACUCUAAGAAGGCAGUAUUCCCUCACAUGAUCGAGAGUUAAACAGUGUCUCUUAUCAUGGCCUCUAGACCUCUUCUGCGAAACCUGGAGGAAGCCUCUAUUUUCCUCACUUUCCCAAGUUCAAGGCUGGGAUGACUCAGCCACUUCUCCAUUGGGGGCCAGGAAUACCAGUCAGAUUAAUGAUUUAUAGCCAAUAUUCCCCUCCUCCUCUAACACUCAUCCACAAUGCUUAUAAAUAAAGCAAUUUUCCAGGGUCUCUCAUUUUACAAUCCUUAUCCCAAUGCCCCCAUGCAGAUCUCCAAGAGCUCACUGAGCUCAGGGGGAUAAAAGCCCCUCACGAAUGUUCUCUGCUGCCAUUCCCCACAAAACCAAAUUCUUCACCGAACCCAGAAGACUAUAGGCCUCGAGAGAUGCUUAACUGAAAAGAUUCAGCUGAAUCAAACUUGGACAAGGAAGAAAAGAACUAGGCUCCAGAAAGGCAGAAGCCUGUUGGAAAUUCCUAACCAGCAGAGGCCAGGUGGCUGUAAUUAACAUCACAACAUCAAGACCAGAGAGAUGUUAAACACAUGGAUUUCAGAUGUGAAUUUGCCUUUGACAUACAAUAAUCUUCAGACAUUAGGAUUAGAACAAAAACUUUGCUAUGUUUCCAUUUCAUAAAGUAAGGGCAUUAUAAAACUCUCCAACCAUUUGAAGCUCUUCUACAUAACAGAAUGAGUGAAAUUCUGUGGGUUUAGAGAUUACCAGUUGAUUUCAACAGACAAUUGAAACUAUCAUGACUACUUUAUUCAGACUGAUAUUUCUGCUACUACAUUUUACAUUCUUUACAAAUCUCAGUGCUAAAAGAUAAUGAAAACCUUUUAGUAAAGCAUUCUUUAACUUCUCCAUGCCGAAUUUCAUAAUAAUAACCUGUAGGUUUGAACUCAGAGCUCAGGCUUCCUUUACCUCCCCCGAUGUGCCAUUUUCAUUUCCUGUGCCUAUUUUGUUAACCUGUCCGGAGUUAUGAAACAGAUAACAUAGAAGAGCUGAGCAUUAAUAAUCCAUUUUCACAGAUGUCAUUCUCUCUGCUUCAUUAGCAGACUUGAUCCCGUACAGCUUUCUAUAGAUGGGCCUGAAAAAUCUACCUCAAUGAAUUAGACACAAUAUGAACUCUGUCUUGGGGGUAAAAAGUGCAUAUGUUCUCCAAAAGGUACUCAUCUAGUUCUUUUCCAUUUUCACAUUUACAAGUAUUAAAUUAUCUGACUUUCAAGGUGACACCUUUGGAUCUGAGAAAAUCAGAGUGGUAGAUAAUGGAAAUAAAUCUUCAAAGACACUGGGCCAAGACAUAUGAGCCAGACUUGUAAAGGGAUUGUUUCAGGUGAUAACUAGGAAGAUACCAAGAGCAGAGUUCACCUAAUUCACCAUUUUUCUUACAGAAUUAGUAGUUAUUAAUAACUAUUAGUACAGCAAGUCCCUCAAAGAGGAUGGAAAUAUUAUACACAAUUCUUUGAUCCCAAAUAAACACUUUGCCUCUUAAACUGUUUUCUAUUUUUGUAGGUUCACACACCUAAUUCCCAUUUUUCUGAAACCAGUGGUGGUUAUUAAUGACUAUGAGUACAGCAACAAGUCCCUUAGAGAGGAUGGAAAUAUUAUACCCAGGAAUUCAGUGAUGUGAUGAAAUGAACACAAACAUGUUGAUGAAGGCAGAAGACUCAGGGAAACAAUUUACAUGUGGCUCUUACAUAGAUGCUCAAAGGCCACCAGACAUCCCAUCUACAGCAGGGUGCCCUCGUAUACUGACAGUUUCAGCUUAUACAAACCAGUCUGACCACACGGUGUAUUCACUCGACCACUGGGACAAGAACAAGUAUACUAGUUAAGCGGGCAGACUUCUCCUGGAUUGGAAUUGCAGUUCCUAAAUUCAAAUUUAACUCUGAGGGUAUACCCCUUUCCAACAUGCCUGAGAACACAGACUAAUCAAAUCCAUAUAUCUCCUAACUUAAGGGAGACUCUGCUAACAACUUUGCAAAUACUGCUUUUUACAAAUCUUAAAAGUCAAGUUUAACAGUAAAAUUAAAUGCAUACUCAUGGGAGAUGCUGAUGGGCAAAAUGAUAAUGAGAUUGCCUGUAGGCCACCUCCUGAUGGAAAGUUUUUAAUGCUUCUGUUUGGCUUUACAAGUGUUUUGUUAAAGCCUAUUCCAUUUCUCUUACAUUGUUUUUGUGGGAUUUUUUUGAAGAUGGUGAUGAAAAAGAAUAAGGGCAGUAUAGCAAUUAUGUAUUACAUGAGAUUACUUGAUGUUUCAUUAGAUACCAUCUUAGUAAUACCAGAAUGUAUAUUUAAAAGAGCAUUGCUUUUUAGUGCCCUAUUAAUCUGAUUUGAAUUCAAAUCCCACCACUGCUAGCUAUGCGACCUUCGACAAAUGCUUACCUUCUCGGACCCUCUGUGUCCUCAUUUGCAUAAACAUGGAAUCACAUGGAAUUAGUUCAGAAAGAAUUAAAUAAAACUAGUGCGGUAGGUGGCAAAAUGUCAGUUCUGACUUCCCGUUGCUGUAUUUCCUCUGUAUUACCAUUGUUAGAAUCCAACAAUGUU